rnacentral:lncRNA from 1 species
UCCAUCAAAAUUACAGAACCCACGGUGGAAAAUCAGUUGAACACCGGAAUAGCAGAACCAGUUCAGGCAUUAUUGCAGCAAUAUGAGACCAUUUUCGCAACACCUACGGCUCUGCCUCCGGAAAGAUCACAUGACCAUGCUAUUAAUCUCCUGCCCAACACAAAACCUGUUAACAUAAGACCUUAUCACCACAACUAUUUUCAGAAAACGGAAAUAGAAAAACAGGUAAAAGAAAUGCUCAACACUGGAGUGAUUCAAUGUAGUCACAGUCCUUUCGCUUCUCCAGUCCUGUUAGUUAAGAAGAAAGAUGGAACUUGGCGUUUUUGCGUGGAUUAUAGACAAUUGAAUGAGAUGACAGUCAAAGAUAAAUUUCCAAUACCUGUCAUAGAUGAUCUACUGGAUGAAUUAAAUGGAGCAAGAUUCUUCAGCAAAAUCGACUUGCGAGCCGGUUACCAUCAAAUUCGAGUAAGAGUGGAAGAUGUUUACAAAACAGCAUUCCGAACUCAUCAUGGGCACUACGAAUUUAAGGUAAUGCCUUUCGGCUUGACUAAUGCUCCUGCUACCUUCCAAUCCUUGAUGAACCAAAUCUUUGGGCCUUAUUUGAGGCAGUUUAUUCUAGUCUUCUUCGAUGAUAUUUUGAUAUAUAGCAGAACUCUUGAGGAGCACUUAAACCAUCUAAAGAAAGUCUUUGACAUACUUAGUGAACACAAGUUGUUUGCCAAACAGUCAAAAUGUUCCUUUGCUCAGACUAGAGUUGAAUACUUGGGUCAUGU